GUAGGGAAUCUUCGGCAAUGGGGGCAACCCUGACCGAGCAACGCCGCGUGAGUGAAGAAGGUUUUCGGAUCGUAAAGCUCUGUUGUAAGUCAAGAACGGGUGUGAGAGUGGAAAGUUCACACUGUGACGGUAGCUUACCAGAAAGGGACGGCUAACUACGUGCCAGCAGCCGCGGUAAUACGUAGGUCCCGAGCGUUGUCCGGAUUUAUUGGGCGUAAAGCGAGCGCAGGCGGUUUGAUAAGUCUGAAGUUAAAGGCUGUGGCUCAACCAUAGUUCGCUUUGGAAACUGUCAAACUUGAGUGCAGAAGGGGAGAGUGGAAUUCCAUGUGUAGCGGUGAAAUGCGUAGAUAUAUGGAGGAACACCGGUGGCGAAAGCGGCUCUCUGGUCUGUAACUGACGCUGAGGCUCGAAAGCGUGGGGAGCGAACAGGAUUAGAUACCCUUGUAGUCC
rnacentral:rRNA from 1 species